rnacentral:rRNA from 1 species
GAUGAACGCUAGCGAUAGGCUUAGCACAUGCAAGUCGAGGGGCAGCGGGGGUAGCAAUACCCGCCGGCGACCGGCGCACGGGUGAGUAACGCGUAUGCAACUUACCUAUCAGAGGGGGGAUAACCCGGGCGAAAAGUCGGGAACUAAUACCGCAUGAAGCAGGGGAUCCCGCAUGGGAAUAUUUGCUAAAGAUUCAUCGCUGAUAGAUAGGCAUGCGUUCCAUUAGGCAGUUGGCGGGGUAACGCCCACCAAACCGCGAUGGAUAGGGG